AGAGUUUGAUCCUGGCUCAGGAUGAACGCUGGCGGCGUGUCUAAGGCAUGCAAGUCGAAUGCUCCUUCGGGGGCAUGGCAGACGGGUGAGUAUCACGUUGGUAACCUACCUCUAACCCGGGCAUAACCCACCGAAAGGUGGAAUAAUUCCCGAUAGUCAUGGGGGGACAUAAGUCAUUCCCAUGUAAAUUCCGGUGGUUAGAGAGGGGCCUACGGCCCAUCAGCUUGUUGGUAAGGUAACGGCUUACCAAGGCUGCGACGGGUAGCGGGUGUGAGAGCAUGACCCGCCUCACUGGGACUGAAACACUGCCCAGACUCCUACGGGAGGCUGCAGUCAAGAAUCUUCCGCAAUGGCCGAAAGGCUGACGGAGCGACGCCGCGUGUAGGAAGACGCCCUUCGGGGUGUAAACUACUUUUCUCAGGGACGAAUUCGUGACGGUACCUGAGGAAUAAGCCACUGCUAAUCACGUGCCAGCAGCAGCGGUAAUACGUGAGUGGCAAGCGUUAUCCGGAAUUAUUGGGUGUAAAGCGUCCCCAGGCGGUCUAAAAAGUUUUUAGUUAAAUCUCAGGGCUCAACCCAGAAUCUGCUAAAAAAACUGUUAGACUAGAGACCGGGAGAGGUCAGCGGAAUGGCCGGUGUAGUAGUUAAAUGCGUUAAUAUCAGCUAGAACACCAAUAGCGAAGGCAGCUGACUAGAACGGUUCUGACGCUCAUAGGACGAAAGCGUGGGUAGCGAAUGGGAUUAGAUACCCCAGUAGUCCACGCUGUAAACGAUGGGUACUAAGCAUUGGAAGUAUCGACCCUUUCAGUGCUGUUGACUUAAGCUAACGCAUUAAGUACCCCACCUGGGGAGUACGGCCGCAAGGCUAAAACUCAAAGGAAUUGACGGGAGUCCGCACAAGCGGUGGAGCAUGUGGUUUAAUUCGACAAUAAGCGAGGAACCAUACCAGGGUUUGACAUCCCGAGAAUCCCGGCGAAAGUUGGGAGUGCCUUUUAGGAACUCGGUGACAGGUGCUGCAUGGUUGUCGUCAGCUCGUGUCGUGAGAUGUCGGGUUAAGUCCUUUAACGAGCGCAACCCCUACUUUGUGUUAAAUGUUCACAAAGAACUGCCUCGGUUAACGAGGAGGAAGGUGGGGACGACGUCAAAUCAGCAUGGCUCUUACAUCCUGGGCUACACACGUGCUACAAUGGCGAGUACAAAGGGUUUGCAAAACCGUAAGGCGAAGCUAAUCCCAUCAAAACUCGUCUCAGUUCGGAUUGAGGUCUGCAACUCGACCUCAUGAAGCUGGAAUCGCUAGUAACCGUGAAUCAGCCACGUCACGGUGAAUACGUUCUCGGACUUUGUACACACCGCCCGUCACGUCAAGAGAGUCGAUAGUACCCGAAGGCUGACAUUAGUUGGACUAAGGUAAGAUCGAUGAUA
rnacentral:rRNA from 1 species